CUCUUUCAAGAAAUCGGCAACUUGGUCUCUCCACACCAAUGCAUCAUAGUCAAUGAGUGCCUUCUCACUCCAACCGAACCCAAGUAAGUCCACGGCAUACACCUUGUACUUUUUAGCCAGUUCAGAGACCUCCAGUGGAAAGCUGAAGCACCAAAACCAUGAAUAAGAACGAUCGGAAAGCCUUCGCCUUCUUCAACAUAAUGAAUUUUGUGUCCU
rnacentral:lncRNA from 1 species